rnacentral:rRNA from 1 species
GAUGAACGCUGGCGGCGUGCUUAACACAUGCAAGUCGAACGAGAAGUGGAGACGGAAACCUUCGGGCGGAAGACUUUACUUCGAGUGGCGGCCGGGUGAGUAACGCGUGGGUAACCUGCCUCAUACAGGGGGAUAACAGUUGGAAACGACUGUUAAUACCGCAUAAGACCACAGCACCGCAUGGUGCGGGGGUAAAAACUCCGGUGGUAUGAGAUGGACCCGCGUUCGAUUAGCCAGUUGGCGGGGUAACGGCCCACCAAAGCGACGAUCGAUAGCCGAUCUGAGAGGAUGACCGGCCACAUUGGGACUGAGACACGGCCCAAACUCCUACGGGAGGCAGCAGUGGGGAAUAUUGCACAAGGGGGGAAGCCCUGAUGCAGCGACGCCGCGUGAGUGAAGAAGUAUUUCGGUAUGUAAAGCUCUAUCAGCAGGGAAGAAAAUGACAGUACCUGAGUAAGAAGCCCCGGCUAACUACGUG